GGCUCAGAUUGAACGCUGGCGGCAUGCCUUACACUUGCAAGUCGAACGGCAGCACGGAGCUUGCUCUGGUGGCGAGUGGCGAACGGGUGAGUAAUAUAUCGGAACGUACCCUAGAGUGGGGGAUAACGUAGCGAAAGUUACGCUAAUACCGCAUACGAUCUAAGGAUGAAAGUGGGGGAUCGCAAGACCUCAUGCUCGUGGAGCGGCCGAUAUCUGAUUAGCUAGUUGGUAGGGUAAAAGCCUACCAAGGCAUCGAUCAGUAGCUGGUCUGAGAGGACGACCAGCCACACUAGAACUGAGACACGGUCCAGACUCCUACGGGAGGCAGCAGUGGGGAAUUUUGGACAAUGGGCGAAAGCCUGAUCCAGCAAUGCCGCGUGAGUGAAGAAGGCCUUCGGGUUGUAAAGCUCUUUUGUCAGGGAAGAAACGGUGAAAGCUAAUAUCUUUUGCUAAUGACGGUACCUGAAGAAUAAGCACCGGCUAACUACGUGCCAGCAGCCGCGGUAAUACGUAGGGUGCAAGCGUUAAUCGGAAUUACUGGGCGUAAAGCGUGCGCAGGCGGUUUUGUAAGUCUGAUGUGAAAUCCCCGGGCUCAACCUGGGAAUUGCAUUGGAGACUGCAAGGCUAGAAUCUGGCAGAGGGGGGUAGAAUUCCACGUGUAGCAGUGAAAUGCGUAGAUAUGUGGAGGAACACCGAUGGCGAAGGCAGCCCCCUGGGUCAAGAUUGACGCUCAUGCACGAAAGCGUGGGGAGCAAACAGGAUUAGAUACCCUGGUAGUCCACGCCCUAAACGAUGUCUACUAGUUGUCGGGUCUUAAUUGACUUGGUAACGCAGCUAACGCGUGAAGUAGACCGCCUGGGGAGUACGGUCGCAAGAUUAAAACUCAAAGGAAUUGACGGGGACCCGCACAAGCGGUGGAUGAUGUGGAUUAAUUCGAUGCAACGCGAAAAACCUUACCUACCCUUGACAUGGCUGGAAUCCUUGAGAGAUCAGGGAGUGCUCGAAAGAGAGCCAGUACACAGGUGCUGCAUGGCUGUCGUCAGCUCGUGUCGUGAGAUGUUGGGUUAAGUCCCGCAACGAGCGCAACCCUUGUCAUUAGUUGCUACGAAAGGGCACUCUAAUGAGACUGCCGGUGACAAACCGGAGGAAGGUGGGGAUGACGUCAAGUCCUCAUGGCCCUUAUGGGUAGGGCUUCACACGUCAUACAAUGGUACAUACAGAGCGCCGCCAACCCGCGAGGGGGAGCUAAUCGCAGAAAGUGUAUCGUAGUCCGGAUUGUAGUCUGCAACUCGACUGCAUGAAGUUGGAAUCGCUAGUAAUCGCGGAUCAGCAUGUCGCGGUGAAUACGUUAAAGGGUCUUGUACUCACCGCCCGUCA
rnacentral:rRNA from 1 species